GAUCUAUUUAUAGGGGGAAGACAACAGAAGGCUUGGAAGAAAGGUUUAGGGGGGCCAGAGCAAUUUUUGACCGUAUACAUUUUCGCUGCACUCACAGAUUGGGGCCCAGUUUCAUUUCUGUGCGAAAGCCAAAAUGCGGUGAUGUUUGAGGCAUUGUAAAUGGAAGGCGAUGCCACGUAAAGUAACGGCUGACAUACGCUACAAACAAUGUGGCUUCCUGCAGAGCGGAAAGGGGAAACGCGAGGCAAAAUGUGUGAAAAAAACAAAACAAAACAAAAAAAGUUGUUUUGUUGUUAAACCACGUCUCUGAGUUAAUCCCGAUGAAACAAAUUGGCAUCAGGUUGUCUCGUCAAAUUAUAUUUAUUCUGAAACAAGAAUUAUUGAUGCUCUGCUUUCGUUGUACUGUGACUUUCUGAGCCAUUUGACUACAAUGCUUCAAUUUGGUUUUACAUCAAAACGGCUCACAGACAGCGUAGGCGGGGGAGUUACACGUGUUUUUGGACGACCACAAAUCUCAUGUACUUUUAGUCAUGAAACUACAAGAGAUCCACAGACAACUUUACGCCGACUUAUUUGUAUUUCCAUUCAAAAUCAAAUCACUUAAACAAGAGGAACAACAGGAUUUCGAGGGGAAGGACGCGCACGCCCACGCAAAAUGAAGGCCACUACAGCAUGUGAUUUUUGAUUUUUGGUUACACGUUUGAAGAUCUUGUGAGAGUGAUGUGGUUUGGAGCGAAAAGGAAGUUAACGCUGCCUGUUGAAACUCUGCACCACCGGAAAAAAAAAUAAAAAAAAAAUCAUAAAACCUGUGAAUUGAACAGGAUUUCAACCAUAUGGUUGAUGACACGCCAUUGUUAAAUUCAACGUGUUGUCACCGGGAACCGACAAUCCGUUCACUUUGAAUGCAGUCGCGCAAGUCCGAUAACGCAGAGCAGACGAAAAAAGGCGCCACCCUGACCGAACCUGCACAUGAAACCACAGAGGAGAUGGGAAAGUCUCAUUUGGAAUGUUCUGAACUCCGGUUUUCAUGUCAGCGUUAACUCAAACUGCCCGGACGGGUUACGCCACAGCGGAGCUCCAGCGUGACUCCUCACAGCUGACUUCGCCUUGUUGUUCUUAAACUCCAUUUUGGCUCAACCGCUUCAAGACACGAUUGAUCGAUCAUCGCAAUCCCCCAACAGUCAGCGGCCGUACUUCCUGUGCACCUGUGCGAGUACUUCCCGUCACAGUGCCCCCCACCUCGUACCCUCGCUGCAAAACCGCAUCCUUUACACACAGAGUCACAAAUCUUGAUGUGCGAGGGUCUCUGGGACGGGAGGCCGUUUGGACUCGAUGUGUUCUGUUCUCGGGUGUGUUGGGAGCGAGGGGCCCCUCCCAGAACACGCGGCCCUGGCAAAGGCGCCGGGCGUACAGGCCGUCGGACGUCAUCCACAGCAUCACUCCCCGCUCCAGGAUAUCGGGAAGCCUCUCGGCACCUUGCCUUUGAGACUCG